CAAAGUGACUCGGAAUAAAGGGCUUCAGCUACAGAGGUGAGAUCCUUGGAAAACUGACUGCCCAGAGCUCUGGAGCUUUCAGCCUUCACGCUAACGCACGGGCCCAGCUGGCUGGAGAUUAAAGCGCACAGUUGAAAACCAAAAAGCAUUUGAAAUUGCACCACUGAGCUGGCAGGAAAUUCCAGCUUUUUGUAGAUGUUGGAGGCGUUGGAACGGCGAGGAACCAGAAGGCUGCCAAAGAUUAUCACUCCAGCAACAAUGCUUACAGGCAGCUGAAGAACUCGAGGCCUCCUGUGAAGCCUUUGGCACCAAUGGAAGACUUCAGCUUCCUCUUCUCUCAUCCCCUUUCCUCCCCCCCUCACCAAGAGCAAAUCAAGCCCUGCUAGCAUGAGCGGUGGAGAACAGAAUCUGCAUUGACGACAGAUGGAACGAAUGUUAUGGAUGCAUCCCAGGCCCUGAGCUGUUGUGCCACAUAAAUCAGUAGUAAAACUUUGCCAACUCAGAAUGCUUCACAGGACUAGACUAUCAGCCAGCUUAAUGUCUGGCUCUGCAACCCCAAAAUUGCAUGGUCCAAAUAAAAAAAAAUAAAAUAAAAUAGUGAAUGUGUG
rnacentral:lncRNA from 1 species